CAUGUUUAUAAGAGCCACUUUCUUGCAUAAUCUCUCAUUUUUCAGCUUUGCUUUUCUACGAUUACACUAUUUUUUUAUAUUAUUGUUUCUUUGGAUUAAAUUAUGUUUAAUAAUGAUUUUAACUCGAACCGGUCACUGCAAAUGUUUGUUGUUAUCGAUUCUUUGUGGUUUUUUUCUUUUGGCUUGAAUUGUGUUUGAUUAUGUCUUCACCUCAAAUGGGUAACUGCUAAUUUUUGUUGUUAUUGAUUCUUGUGUUUUUUUAGGUGAAUACUCUGAUGGUCUUCUGCACCCUAGGGGGUCCCUGAUCAAGAUUUCUGCAAAUUACAAGUUUUGGGAAAGAGUUUGGUGUGCUUUUUAUGAAUGUUUUUCAUAUUUUCUCAAGUUCUUGUGUGUGCUGUGGUGUUUAAGGUGACGAGGCAAGUACUAACUACUGAGCAGUUAUGCAACAAAGUAAAUGCAGUUUGCACAAGACCUUUCAACACAUAGAGAGUAUAGAGGAUAUGGAGCUGAACAAGGAAACAAGGCGCAGGUGCUUGAUGUCACGCAGUUUGGCUACUUUAAGGUGCUGGGGAAGGACUCAGGGACGAAGCCGAUUGUGGUAAAGGCCAAGCUGGUGUCGAAGAUUGCGGAGAAGAAGAUUGAGAUGGGCGGCGCUGUUGUGCUUACUGCUUAGGAUUGGUUGUUUCUGUUUUAAUUGAAAUGGAUUAUACUGAUUGUAAUGGUUCUUAUGGAUUCUCACAUUGUGGAACACUGUUUUUGGAUAAAUUUAUGGUUAAUGGUACUUUUAAUUGUGGAUUUGGUGGUGUUUGUUUGGUUGUUAUUGUGUUGUGAUUGAUAAUGUUUGAUUUUGUAUGUGGUCGGAUUGGUUCUUGUAGUGAUGGUUGUAGUCGAGGCUCUGAUUGUGGGUUGAGACCUCAAUGUUCAAUCGAGUGGAAGUGCAGUGUUGAUAAUGAGAUUUGUUCCCCCAAUUAAUCAUGUCCAUUCCUCCGUGGAAUUGUGCUCAAAACUUAAAAGAAACUGUUGUUCUGCUUGGUCUUAUCUAUUCAGUUGUCACUUGUGACACACAAUAAAAUUUAAGCAUUUGCUAGAUAUAAUUACUGCUGGUGGUGGUUUUACUGAUUGAC